CACGAGAUUGAUGUGGAUGGAUCACGCACAUGUUUCAUUACUGAAGAAACUACAAUGUCGGAUGAUCAGAUGUUGAAUGAGUUUCGUCUAGGUUAUCAUGCAGUACCAAGCACGAGGUGACAUGUGUAUAAGAAAGGAAUUACAACAAUUCUAGCCCUUAAAACACACACCAAGCCAAACAGUUACAAGAAAAGUUGACAGAAUAUCCUCAAGUUGAAAACAGGCAUCAUAGAAUCUGCCUUAUUAUGCAACAGUUGAAGAGGCAACUAGUGGUGAUAUACAGAAAAUUAUCAAGCAACUGAUAGCAUACAGGAAACAAAUGAUAUGUAUUUGUUAAGAUUUGUGAGGGUUUUCUUUUUAUGUUGAAAGACAUUUUGAUUUUUUCAUAUAGCAUAAUUAAGUAGAACAUACUAACCCCUACUAAUGUUAUUGUUAUUUAGAUUUACACCACGAGGGUUUUAUGACCCAUUGAAAGGUUAGAGGUAAGGUCAA